GAUGAAGAACGUAGCGAAAUGCGAUAAGUAAUGUGAAUUGCAGAAUUCAGUGAAUCAUCGAAUCUUUGAACGCACAUUGCGCCCGCCAGUAUUCUGGCGGGCAUGCCUGUUCGAGCGUCAUUUCAACCAUCAAGCCCCCGGCUUGUGUUGGGGACCUGCGGCUGCCGCAGGCCCUGAAAACCAGUGGCGGGCUCGCUAGUCACUCCGAGCGUAGUAAUUCAUCUCGCUCAGGGCGUGCUGCGGGUUCCGGCCGUUAAAAGCCUUAUUUUACCCAAGGUUGACCUCGGAUCAGGUAGGAAGACCCGCUGAACUUAAGCAUAUCAAUAAGCGGAGGA
rnacentral:misc_RNA from 1 species